rnacentral:rRNA from 1 species
UGGACGAAGUCUGACGGAGCAACGCCGCGUGAGUGAAGAAGGUUUUCGGAUCGUAAAGCUCUGUUGUUAGGGAAGAACAAGUACCGUUCGAAUAGGGCGGUACCUUGACGGUACCUAACCAGAAAGCCACGGCUAACUACGUGCCAGCAGCCGCGGUAAUACGUAGGUGGCAAGCGUUGUCCGGAAUUAUUGGGCGUAAAGCGCGCGCAGGUGGUUCCUUAAGUCUGAUGUGAAAGCCCACGGCUCAACCGUGGAGGGUCAUUGGAAACUGGGGAACUUGAGUGCAGAAAAGGAAAGUGGAAUUCCAAGUGUAGCGGUGAAAUGCGUAAAUAUUUGGAGGAACACCAGUGGCGAAGGCGACUUUCUGGUCUGUAACUGACACUGAGGCGCGAAAGCGUGGGGAGCAAACAGGAUUAAAUACCCUGGUAGUCCACGCCGUAAACGAUGAGUGCUAAGUGUUAGGGGGUUUCCGCCCCUUAGUGCUGCAGCUAACGCAUUAAGCACUCCGCCUGGGGAGUACGGUCGCAAGACUGAAACUCAAAGGAAUUGACGGGGGCCCGCACAAGCGGUGGAGCAUGUGGUUUAAUUCGAAGCAACGCGAAGAACCUUACCAGGUCUUGACAUCCUCUGACAACCCUAGAGAUAGGGCUUUCCCCUUCGGGGGACAGAGUGACAGGUGGUGCAUGGUUGUCGUCAGCUCGUGUCGUGAGAUGUUGGGUUAAGUCCCGCAACGAGCGCAACUCUUGAUCUUAGUUGCCAGCAUUCAGUUGGGCACUCUAAGAUGACUGCCGGUGACAAACCGGAGGAAGGUGGGGAUGACGUCAAAUCAUCAUGCCCCUUA